rnacentral:rRNA from 1 species
UACGGGGGGGCAAGCGUUGUUCGGAAUUACUGGGCGUAAAGGGCUCGUAGGCGGCCAACUAAGUCAGACGUGAAAUCCCUCAGCUUAACUGGGGAACUGCGUGUGAUACUGGAUGGCUUGGAUUUGGGAGAGGGAUGCGGAAUUCCAGGUGUAGCGGUGAAAUGCGUAGAUAUCUGGAGGAACACCGGUGGCGAAGGCGGCAUCCUGGACCAAUAUUGACGCUGAGGAGCGAAAGCCAGGGGAGCAAACGGG